ACUGCCGAGUAAGGGUGGAAAGGUGAGGUAAGAGCUCACCAGCGGCAUGGCGACUUGCCGGUCUGUGUAACCCCCCCCCGGAGCAACCCCGCAGAGGGACAUAUGGUGCCCCGCCAGUCCCGGGCAGGUGGCUCGAGCCAUGCAGCAAUGCAUGGCCCAGAUAGAUGAUUAUCCACGACAGAACCCGGCUUACAGACUUACUCAUCAG
rnacentral:RNase_P_RNA from 1 species